GUUCCUGUCUGUUCAUCACCCUGCCUGUCUGUGUCUGUCUGCUGUCAUUAUUAGUAUCACCUGUUUGUGUUCCCGCCCUCCUCGUUAGCCAGUGUUUAAAUGUUUGUUGCUUCUGUUCAGCUGUUGCUGGUUCGUUGUAUGUUCAUCCACUGCUGUGUGUCUUGCUUGCCUGCCUCUGCAACCUCGUUUGUUGGGUUAUCCUUUUGUUCUGUCUUCCCAGGAUCAUUUGGUUUGGACUGUGUUUGCUGCUCUGUGGACAACCUUAGUUUGGACUCUGCUGUAAAUUUAGUUCCUUUUGAGUUUAAUAAAUUCUAAGACUAUCUGUCCCGCCUGCUUGUCCUGCGUUUGGGUCCUAUACCUGUUCCCCACCUGCACACAAGACAAAGUGUGACGGUGCCAACCAGAGCAGGAAUUAAGACUGUUGGACUUUCUAUGAGAUGGUCUUUAAUUACUUCAUGACGUCACAUCUGUUCAAUUUUCAUUUUGUAACUUAUCCCUUUACAUCUGUCAGCCCCUCACAAUAUCUAGGAUUAGACGUUGUUUCAACAUUGAAAUGUCUGCUGGGUCUUUGAACAUUGAGCUUUCGGUUUGUUUUUCCAUUAACAGUGUUUUUCUCCAACUCCAUUGGAUUUUUUCCUGAGACAAUAGAGACAUGAAAUGGUAGCUGACAGCUCUGCUAUCCCUAUCAGGAAGGCUGAGUGCACCAGUAGACAAACUGAGGCCUGGACCCAAAAGGCAGACAUGCUCAGUUUACAGGUUUAUUUAAUGAUAAGUCACUUACAGGGAUGUCCAAAUAAAAGGCAACAUAGUCCAAACACAGGGGUAAAUCAAACAAGGGAACAAUCCAGAAAUCCAGGGAAAAUGGAGCACUAGGCAGAACACUCAACAUAUGACACAAUGCAACAAAAACUAAACACAACUGAGGGCAACAUAUACUGGGACACACCACACACAAGCAGGCAGGAUAAUUAGCCACAGGUGAUACGCAUAAGCAAUCAAGUCAAGCAGGAAACAAAGCUAGACAAACACCCAACAUCAAUGAUUACAAAAUAAAAUGGGAAGUAAAGCUACCGACAAUACACAAUAAUAUAAGUAACUAAAUACAACAGAACAAGGAAGCAACGAUCAACUAACAAAACCUAAACAAGAACACAAAGGCAGUGGGUAAAACAGAAAUGGACAUUUAACAAAACAAACGCCACACUCAAAUCCAAGAUUGUGACAAUUCAUGGAAUAUCAAUUUUUUUUUCAUUGGGUUUUUCAGGCAACAGGGGAUGAGUACUGAGAAAUGUUUUCGGGUGUAUACUAAAACAGAAAAAUAUUGCUAAGGUGUGCAUAUUAUAUACUGUGUAUUAAAUUUUAAAGUAAAGCCCAUGCUUGUAUGUAAGCAGUCAAUGUAAGCCCAACAGAUGUUACAGAAAUGUGAUUUGAAAGCACUGAUUAGUCAUUCAUCCUGGGCCAACGUCCCACGAGAGAACGCUUCAUUCGGUCUGUUCAGUAACUUUAGCUGCCAGGCUGCUUGGAAUUGAUUAGAAUCAAUCGAUUGCUUCUCAUUCACUCAUCAUAGGCAGCUUGAGCAGUAUCCUAGUCUCCAGGCCCAGAUGACAUCAUCAAGGCUAUUUUCUACAACUUUAAAAGCUCUUCCAGAGAUACACAAAUGAUACUUUGUGCCCCUUCUACUUGACAGUCAAGGUGGUUAUCUUUCAAAAUGGCUGCAUUUUUGUCUUCAAAACUGGAAACUAAGAAAAAAAGGGACGUAUACGAUACGUAGCUGGUCAUUGCAUUGUUUUCCUCACUUUCAGUAAUGGUGAUUCAUUAGUAAGUAACUUUAUUUAUAUAGCUCCUUCCAAGAGCAAACCGUCAUAAAGUGCUUCACAAAAGAAAUAAGGCAGCUGACAUAAAUACAGACAAGGACUUUUAAGGACAUGGUACAGACAGAUUAAAACACCAUCAAAUAGAAAUAAGUUACAAUAAUGUCAUGCUCUUGGGUUUUUGUGUGCUAUUUUUCUGUUAUUUUGAUUAUGUCCAUUCCUUUUUUACUCUUUGCCUCUGUUUUUGUUUAGGUUUGGUUAGUUGAUCAUUGCCUCCUUGUUCUCUGUAUUUGGUUUCACAUGUCCUUGUGUACUGUCGCUAGCUUUACUUUCUAUUUUAUUUUGUAGUGUCAUCAGUUUGAUGGGUGUGUUUUUGUUUUUUUGUGUCUAGCUUUGUUUCCUGUCUGCUUGAUUGAUUUAUGUGUCUCACCUGUGUUAAUUGUCCUGCCUGCUUGUGUAUAUAUUGCCCUCAGUUCUGUUUAGUCCUUGUGGUGUCAUCGUCUUAUGCUGAGUGUUCCUGCCUGUUCUUUGCUUCAUGGCUUAUUCCUCGACUAACAGGCUUUUCUGCAUUUUGGAUUUGUUCCCUGUUUGGAUUACUCUGUUUUUCUUGGAUUGCCCCUUUUGUUUGGACGCUCACCUUGUGUUCACGUAAGCUUGUUUAGCUUGUUUGAAAUAAAUCUUUAUUUGCACUGCAACCUC